GGCCCAUCAGCUAGUUGGCGGUGUAAUAGACCACCAAGGCUAAGACGGGUAGCUGGUCUGAGAGGAUGAACAGCCACACUGGAACUGAGACACGGUCCAGACUCCUACGGGAGGCAGCAGUGGGGAAUCUUGCGCAAUGGGCGAAAGCCUGACGCAGCGACGCCGCGUGAGUGAAGAAGGCCUUCGGGUUGUAAAGCACUUUUGUCCGGAAAGAAAACCUCAGCCCUAAUACGGCGGGGGGAUGACGGUACCGGAAGAAUAAGCACCGGCUAACUACGUGCCAGCAGCCGCGGUAAUACGUAGGGUGCGAGCGUUAAUCGGAAUUACUGGGCGUAAAGCGUGCGCAGGCGGUUCGUUAAGACAGAUGUGAAAUCCCCGGGCUUAACCUGGGAACUGCAUUUGUGACUGGCGGGCUAGAGUAUGGCAGAGGGGGGUAGAAUUCCACGUGUAGCAGUGAAAUGCGUAGAGAUGUGGAGGAAUACCGAUGGCGAAGGCAGCCCCCUGGGCCAAUACUGACGCUCAUGCACGAAAGCGUGGGGAGCA
rnacentral:rRNA from 1 species